rnacentral:rRNA from 1 species
AGGGCCAUCGCUCAACGGAUAAAAGCUACCCCGGGGAUAACAGGCUUAUCUCCCCCAAGAGUUCACAUCGACGGGGAGGUUUGGCACCUCGAUGUCGGCUCAUCGCAUCCUGGGGCUGUAGUCGGUCCCAAGGGUUGGGCUGUUCGCCCAUUAAAGCGGUACGCGAGCUGGGUUCAGAACGUCGUGAGACAGUUCGGUCCCUAUCCGUCGUGGGCGUAGGAAAUUUGAGAGGAGCUGUCCUUAGUACGAGAGGACCGGGAUGGACAUACCUCUGGUGUACCAGUUGUCGUGCCAACGGCAUAGCUGGGUAGCUAUGUGUGGACGGGAUAAGUGCUGAAAGCAUCUAAGCAUGAAGCCCCCCUCAAGAUGAGAUUUCCCAACUUCGGUUAUAAGAUCCCUCAAAGAUGAUGAGGUUAAUAGGUUCGAGGUGGAAGCAUGGUGACAUGUGGAGCUGACGAAUACUAAUCGAUCGAAGACUUAAUCAA